CGCCCAGCCAAUCACGUGGCGCUCCUCCGGUCAUGUGACGCAGACGGUUCACCUCACAAGACCGGGGUCAACCACAGCUACCAGAAUGAACGACGGCGCUUCACAACACCGUCUGAACUGACCAGUCUGGUGAAAUUCUGGACUGGAUGGGAGACUCUACCAAGAACUCUCUCCUCAGAAGUAGUGAAUGGCAGAUACCUGACAGCCUCCACCUGCUAUGAGACCUUACAUUCCCAGGACAUUACAAGGACUACACAUCAUUUAAGACUGACAUCCUGACCUGUAUUUGCACUUGCCAGUCAAGAUAUGUUAGGUGUUGUUCUCUAGUUAGUUUUACUUGACUGACAAAACUAAGUGCACUUUUGGAUUCCCUCCCCUACCUGUUCUCCCAACUCACCUGACAGGUUAUCUGGCUCAAUAAGGCAGCAUCAGGAGACAAACAUGGAGGAAAUAUGAGAACAGAGAGAACCCAACCAGCAGGUCACAGUUUAUCAUCAUCUAAUCAUCUCCUGAAGUCCAUAUGG
ensembl:lncRNA